rnacentral:rRNA from 1 species
UACAGAGGUCUCAAGCGUUGUUCGGAUUCAUUGGGCGUAAAGGGUGCGUAGGCGGCGCGGUAAGUCGGGUGUGAAAUCUCGGAGCUCAACUCCGAAACUGCAUUCGAUACUGCCGUGCUUGAGGACUGGAGAGGAGACUGGAAUUUACGGUGUAGCGGUGAAAUGCGUAGAUAUCGUAAGGAAGACCAGUGGCGAAGGCGGGGUCUCUGGACAGUUCCUGACGCUGAGGCACGAAGGUCAGGGGGAGCAAACGGG